GAAAAAGAGCCUCGAGGUGUUCCUCUACAGCUGGAUCUGCAUCUUUGGAAUCAGAUGAUAGAUGGCAUACGACCUGAUCUUCGGCUUAUUCGGCCACAUUCCUAGCCCGUGAAAGAGCUGCCUUGAAGCCUUUACGACUGGCUUUCAAGACCUGGACGGCCUCACGAUCGGACAUGCUGAGGAUUCGAGACGGGAACCACUGGAAAUCCACAAAUCAACACCACGAUGGCACGGGAUGGAUGGAUCCAAGGAUGAUCACGUACAAAUAACCGACCACACAACCCGAAGUCUCAGAUCAGGGAUAGCCGUAGACGGAACGUACAUUUAAGAGUUCGUACAGACCGACUGCGCCAUCGCAUGAUCGUAUUGAGUGGACAAAAGCGGAGGACACAUAGAUCGAGUAAAGGUUCAGAUGGGAGUGUAUUUCUCGACUAGAUAUGCUCGGAAGUAAACGUCAAUCAUAACUCGCAUGACAACAUCACAACAUACCAAAACCCUAAUAUUAUUUGGAGCGUUUGCCAUUGGCAGCUUGAAAAAAAUUGGACCAAGAAGAUCAAAAACCCGGAAAUGUUGAUGGACAUCAAAGGCCUUCGACAAAUAGCCGAAAUCGCGCCUUUCACUCAAAAAAUGCUAAGCAUUCAAUCGAAAAAGGAAGCUUCAGAAGAAAGAACAUCGUGGGUGUACUUCGUGACCAACUAUGGGCCUGAUGGACGGCAAGCCCCCUUCAACGCGUGGGCAAGACCUUCCACCCUUGGCGCCCCAUGUCAAAAUCUUCACGUUGAGCGAUACCACCGGACAAUAAAGGGCGUGUUCAAACCCAAUAUGAAUAUUGCCCGAUUUUGUUUGGGGUUGAAGAAUGUCAACAAGACAUUCAUUCGCAAAGAUGUCAUGGCAAAAGAGGGAAUCCGGGGAAUUGGGCAAUCUAAGAUCCAGUCCGACGUGAACAAGAGCCACCCGACUGAUGCUGAGAUCUCCAGCUAUUCGCUUGAACGAGUCGAUGCAAAUUGUGUCACGCUUAUGAAGUGAAAUUCAAUAGGUGAAGAGAUUGUCUACACGAUGAGAGUAAACCGCUUCCCAUGCAACAGCAAUUUGUGCCAAGUUCGUUGUGAUUUCUGCACGGACUGAAAAAUGUGCGCUCAUGUUUACACAUGUACCUGCCAGCGAUAUGCUUAUAGCAACUUGUGCAAACACAUGCAUGUUUUGGCCAUGUUGGAAGCAUCCGACGAUACUUCCAUUGAAUCCGAUCCUUCCACUGAAGAAAAUUGCCCAGUCACCGUCAAACCCCCAUUGAGCAACUCAUUGUCAGACGAAACAGAUCAGCCUAAUGAGGUGGGGCAAGGGUCAAAAAGCGAUAAAGAGGAGGUUUCUGCAUUUUUGAACGAUUGUUCCUUGGUCAAAGAGAGGAUUCGGCUAAUUGAAGCUGUUUUAAGAGCUGAAGAUCUCAAUGUUUGCGAAAAAAAGGUGUUGAUGAAAAGCUGUCAAGCUCGGUUUGCCGAUCUAAUUAACCUAUCGUACGACACCAAUCUCAAUCCAUCUUGCUUCCCCCGAUUGGAUCGAAAAAGAGUCCAUCAGCCCCCAAACAGAUCAUUUUUCCCCACCAAGAAAGCCAAGCAAGAUCACACGUCACUUAAUACUCUCUAACUGUUCUUUCAUCCGAAGUUCCCUGUGGUUCGAAAUUUUCUUUGUUAUUUCGGAUACUUCUGGUGGUUUUGCGUCACUCCCUUGCUUUCCAAUGUAUAUUGUAUACGCUUUUUGACAAGAUUUUAACGUAUGUUAUUCAGCCUUU